rnacentral:rRNA from 1 species
AUUGAACGCUGGCGGCAGGCCUAACACAUGCAAGUCGAGCGGACGAAGGGAGCUUGCUCCUGGAUUCAGCUGCGGACGGGUGAGUAAUGCCUAGGAAUCUGCCUGGUAGUGGGGGAUAACGUCCGGAAACGAGCGCUAAUACCGCAUACGUCAUGAGGGAGAAAGUGGUGGAUCUUCGGAGCUCACGCUAUCAGAUGAGCCUAGGACGGAUUAGCUAGCUGGUGGGGUAAAGGCCUACCAAGGCGACGAUCCGUAACUGGUCUGAGAGGAUGAUCAGUCACACUGGAACUGAGACACGGUCCAGACUCCUACGGGAGGCAGCAGUAGGGAAUCUUCGGCAAUGGGCGAAAGCCUGAUGCAGCCACGCCGCGUGAGUGAAGAAGGUCUUCGGAUUGUAAAACACUUUUAGUUGGGAAGAAGGAAAGUGAGAUUAACCCUUCACGUUUUGACGUUACCAACAGAAUAAGCCCCGGCUAACUUCGUG